AGGACAUAACCAAGACAACAAUGA
rnacentral:siRNA from 1 species